rnacentral:rRNA from 1 species
UCCGAAGGGGGCUAGCGUUGUUCGGAAUCACUGGGCGUAAAGAGCACGCCGGCGGGUCGAUAAGUCGGGGGUGAAAGCCCGGGGCGCAACCUCGGAAUUGCCUUCGAUACUGUCGGUCUCGAGUCCGGGAGAGGUGAGUGGAAUUCCUAGUGUAGAGGUGAAAUUCGUAGAUAUUAGGAAGAACACCAGUGGCGAAGGCGGCUCACUGGCCCGGUACUGACGCUCAGGUGCGAAAGCGUGGGGAGCAAACAGG